UACGUAGGGUGCAAGCGUUGUCCGGAAUUAUUGGGCGUAAAGAGCUCGUAGGCGGUUUGUUGCGUCGGCUGUGAAAUCCCGAGGCCUCAACCUCGGGUCUGCAGUCGAUACGAGCAAACUAGAGUGUUGCAGGGGAGACUGGAAUUCCUGGUGAUAGCGGUGAAAUACGCAGAUAUCAGGAGGAACACCGGUGGCGAAGGCGGGUCUCUGGGACGGUACUGACGCUGGAGACGGCGAAAGCCGUGGGGAGCGAACAGG
rnacentral:rRNA from 1 species